rnacentral:tRNA from 1 species
GCAGUGCGGAUCGACGGCCAGGCACCACAGGCUGCUACCGUGUUCCGGGUCGUCGAAGGCCUUGGCGUGGUUCAAGCCCAUGACACUGCC